rnacentral:rRNA from 1 species
GACGAACGCUGGCGGCGUGCUUAACGCAUGCAAGUCGAGCGGUAAGGCCUCUUCCGGGGUACUCGAGCGGCGCACGGGUGAGUAACACGUGGGUGACCUGCCCUCAGCUCUGGGAUAAGCCUGGGAAACUGGGUCUAAUGCCGGCUAUGACCUUCCCUCGCAUGGGGUUUGGUGGAAAGUUUUUUCGGCUGGGGAUGGGCCCGCGGCCUAUCAGCCUGUUGGUGGGGUGAUGGCCUACCAAGGCGACGACCGGUAGCCGGCCUUAGAGGGCGACCGGGCAGACUGGGACAGAGGCACGGCCCGGACUCCUACGGGGAGGAGCAGUGGGGCAUGUUGCGCAAUGGGCGGAAGCAUGAUGCAGCGGCGCCGGGUGGGGGAUAGCGGCCUUCGGGUUGUUAAUCUCUUUCGACCCCGGCGAAUUUGGACGGUGGGGGUAAAAGAAGCACCGGCCAACUACGUG